AAGCACACAACCCAGGCUCAUUCAAUUCAUCGUCUUCAUCCGACUGCAAGAUUGGUGUCGCAUGGGAACCUUGGCGUGGUGGCAACAGUAGUAAUCUUUGGUAAUCCUGAUGAUACCUGGUAUCUCUUUCGAAAAACGCCAAGUAAAAGAAAAGAUGGAAGUAGGUAUGGUAUCCUUAUAGAACACUUAGUCAAUUAAUUCCAACUUGUAGGUCAAGCCCCAUAUGUUUUAGUUUCUAGGCCACCAGUAGCACGUAUGCGCGCAUGUCCACAGGAAAUGAUGGUAUUGUUAAACACAAUAGUGUGAUUGCUUUGCUUCGAAUAAACCUAGGCCUAGCGGUUAUGUAAAAUAAAAGAAAUUCCGAACAAAAUAUUUUGUCUUCAUUUUAAUGCAUAUCUUGGAUUUUCAAGAUCCGUCCUGUUCGGAAUUUGUUUUAUUUUAUAUUUUUUCAAAUUGUCGGCUGGAAAUGGAUUUUAGCGGUCAUUAGCAGUCAAAGCAGGGCUGCGGUUGUUGCCUUAGUUUGAGAAUUUAGAAGAGCAUUUUCUGCCUUGACAUUUGUCACACAAAAUGGCGGACUAUUUUUCACGUAAUUAAUUGCCGGAUUGCGACUACGUUUAACAGUAUCAAUGGUUAAUUAAGUAUAUCAGUUUUGUUUCAUGGGCUUUCGCAGUUUUAUGAUGAUACUCGAUCUGUUGAAUAUUCAGGAUAAACUUCCAGUUAUAGCCUAAAAGAUAGUUCGAUUAUCACUGAACAUGUUGCAUUAUCGUGAAAGAGGUUUUGGGUGACUAUCAAAUGCCAUCAAUGAAAAAUUACUAAAGCUAGAGUUACGUGGGAGGAAUAGUGUCUUACAUUUCUAAAUAGGUUUUCACGGACGCUAUCUUCUUUUAAAUUAUAUUAUAAAUAUUUUACUGAAAUUGCUCAUUUUUCUGGGAAACAUGGGGUAAACGUUCACCUUAAUGUGAAGACGUGAGUGUAAGAUUAAGUAAGGAGUAACCGCACGAUUAGGUACAAUGUACAGUAAAUGCUCAUUCGUAAAUCGUCUUGUAUAUCAUUACCAGCCGCUUCAACAAGUGCUGGCUGAAAUGCUCUAAACUUCACGGGCAUUUUGCCCUCUUUUAUUUCACAUGAAUGUCGACGAAUUAGGCAUGCAAAUGCGCCAAAUUUAACAAACAUUUCGUAUUUGCUCAUGCGCACAAAGAUCUAGGAGCCAAUUUUGUACGCAAAUCCGCUUCAUUUGACUCCAUUCUUUAGUAAAUUGCGUGCUAAACAUCUGAAAGCAUUUAAGGGCAGAAUGUUUUCCUAUACCUUCCUCCCAAAUGGGCAUGUUCUGGACAACCUGAAACGUAAUGGAUUACAGACCGGAUUCAACUUGAUAAUCCUACCUUGUGAAAUACUUUGAGGUUCGCGAAGAUGUCACGUUGUUUGCAGUGAUUUAGUCGCAAGAAGUGCAACAAUAGUUCCGGUGGUAUGAAUCUCGGAAGCGUUUUUGUUUUUAACGCCAGUCAACACCAGCCUCGAU